AUGAAAUUAAAUCUUUAUGUACUGACUCCUAAGCGAAUUAUUUGGGAUUGUGAAGUGAAAGAAAUCAUUUUAUCCACUAAUAGUGGCCAAAUUGGCGUAUUACCAAACCACGCCCCCAUUAACACAGCAGUAGAUAUGGGUCCUUUGAGAAUACGCCUCCUCAACGACCAAUGGUUAACAGCGGUUCUGUGGAGCGGUUUUGCGAGAAUAGUUAAUAAUGAGAUCAUCAUUUUAGGAAAUGAUGCGGAACUGGGUAGUGAUAUUGAUCCGGAAGAAGCUCAAAAGGCACUUGAAAUAGCUGAAGCUAACUUGAGUAAAGCUGAGGGUACGAAAGAUUUGGUUGAAGCGAAGCUCGCUCUCAGACGAGCUAGGAUACGAAUCGAGGCUGUCAAUUGGAUUCCCCCAUCCAAUUGA
rnacentral:rRNA from 1 species